rnacentral:rRNA from 1 species
CGCGUAGGCGGUUUUACAAGUCAGAUGUGAAAGCCCAUGGCUCAACCAUGGACGUGCAUUUGAAACUGUAAGACUUGAGUAUUGGGAGGGGGUGGUGGAAUUCCCGGUGUAGAGGUGAAAUUCGUAGAUAUCGGGAGGAAUACCAGUGGCGAAGGCGACCACCUGGCCAAAUACUGACGCUCAUGUGCGAAAGCGUGGGGAGCAAACA